CCUACGGGAGGCAGCAGUGGGGAAUAUUGCACAAUGGGCGCAAGCCUGAUGCAGCGACGCCGCGUGGGGGAUGAAGGCCUUCGGGUUGUAAACCCCUUUCAGCAGGGAAGAAGCGAAAGUGACGGUACCUGCAGAAGAAGCGCCGGCUAACUACGUGCCAGCAGCCGCGGUAAU
rnacentral:rRNA from 1 species